rnacentral:misc_RNA from 1 species
AACUUGGAAUCGAUAUAUUUGGUAAGCAUGUUUUUGCUUAGCACCUCAAAGCUUGCUGCCCUUGUUGGCAAAUGCAUACAUAUGAAUAAAUAAAUCCUUUGUAGUCUCUGAGGCAAAAUUUUAGGUUCUGCAGGUUUUUUGACUGCAAAGCCCACAUGAAAAGCAUAGUUCUUUUCAAUAGUAUGAUUUAUGUAUAAUCUUUUAUAUUUAGUACCAUUGUGAAUAUUGUGCUCCUGUGUAGUGUAAGAAAUAAAUUCAAAAUGCAUGAUGCAUAAAUUUAAGAUCAAUAUGUGAUUUUCUUAUUUGGAUAACUAACCUUAUCAUGUAAGGUACAAGUCAAGCCACCUUUAAGAGUAUGUAAUAUAAUCUUAGGUUUUAGUGUUUGUGUUGUGUUGUGGCCUAGAAUGAUAAAUAAAGUUUCUUAGCAUAUUUCAACACAUCAUGUUGAUGAUUUGGCUUGCUUCUAUUUCUGUAUUGAUUAGGUCUUGGAUUCAUAACUUCCAUA